CAGUCGAACGGAUGCAGCAAUGCAUUAGUGGCGUACGGGUGCGUAACGCGUAAGCAACCUACCUUCUACUGGGGGAUAGCCCUGGGAAACCGGGAGUAAGCCCGCAUGGUAUCAAGUUCUCACCUGAGGGUUUGAUUAAAGAAUUUUGGUAGAAGAUGGGCUUGCGUCGGAUUAGCUAGAUGGCGGGGUAACGGCCCACCAUGGCGAUGAUCCAUAGGGGCUCUGAGAGGAGCGGCCCCCACACUGGCACUGAGACACGGGCCAGACUCCUACGGGAGGCAGCAGUAGGGAAUAUUGGGCAAUGGUCGCAAGACUGACCCAGCCAUGCCGCGUGCAGGAUGAAGGCGCUCAGCGUUGUAAACUGCUUUUGAUCGGGAAGAACGGCCGGGGUGCGCCCUGGUGUGACGGUACCGACAGAAUAAGCACCGGCUAACUCCGUGCCAGCAGCCGCGGUAAUACGGAGGGUGCAAGCGUUGUCCGGAUUUAUUGGGUUUAAAGGGUGCGUAGGUGGCUCAGUAAGUCUGACCUGAAAGUGGGCCGCUUAACGGCACAGGGUGGUUGGAUACUGUUGAGCUUGAAGAGGGUGGAGGCCGCCGGAACGGAUCGUGUAGCGGUGAAAUGCAUAGAGAUGAUCCAGAACCCCGAUUGCGAAGGCAGGCGGCUACGCCCCACUUGACACUGAGGCACGAGAGCAUGGGGAGCAAACAGGAUUAGAUACCCUGGUAGUCCAUGCCGUAAACGAUGAUAACUCGCUGUUGGCUUUUCGGAGCCAGUGGCUUAGCGAAAGCGGUAAGUUAUCCACCUGGGGAGUACGCCGGCAACGGUGAAACUCAAAGGAAUUGACGGGGGUCCGCA
rnacentral:rRNA from 1 species